AAUGUUAUAGAGAUUAAACAAAUGUUUUCAUUAUCAUGGGUGAUUGCUGAAUUCCCAACUUCCCUCUGAUGGUGUUUUCUCAUUCUUGUUCCAUACUGCAGACUGCAGAGGCAGGCCCUUAAAACGUUAGAAUUAAGUGACUACAAAAGUUUCAAUCCCCCAGUUACAUUGUCAACCAUGUCAGCCGGUCCAAGUAUAGCCAUCACUGUCCUCGAGUUUGGUGCAAUUUGGGUUCUCCCAGCAUCUAUUGUAAUGUGUGUUGGUAUAUUAAUUGAUUUUGCUCUUUCUUGCAAAACCAACAUAUCAUCUUCACUUUCAAUCUUCACCACCACCUUCACCUGUCCACACAUCUCCCAUCUGCUAGACAAUAUCAGCAUGACUAACACUUACUAUAUCAACAAAACUUGAAAUGUGUCCUAAAUUUACCUAUUUAAAGCCUUUGGUGCCCUAUUAUGAAGCUUCUUGUAGAGACCCAGAGUUGCAUGACUGCAUUGUGCAGCUAUUUUCCCUUUUCCCAUCUUCAAGUCAUUCCUGACCACUAAAACCAUUUUAAAAUCUUCAAGGAUCUCAGCCAGCCUUUCUACUUCAAAAGGUUGCUUGGCCCCUUUUCUCUUUUUCCCAUCAAUUAAAGUUUCGGUAUCACCAGAUGCUCUGUUUGAGAGAAAAGUGCGAGAAGAAUGUCGCAUCCCAAUAAUAUAACCCAAAGCAAGGCAUCCUGCUCCAAGUAACAUGGCGCUAAGCCAUGUCAUGUCAAUCAUAUUCAAAACUGAGACAGGUAUGAAGCUGAUGAACAAUACGUCUGUCCUUGCACCCCACUUACCCAAAUAAAUAACUUUUAUAAUAAAUCAGCAGUGAGAAAUUUGACAACUCCUAAGUGUGUUCGAAGUCAACUUCUAGUAUCCUCGAGACGGAAGAAAUACUUUUCUUUCUGCCUGAAAACUGUAAGCUGCGGAGAUCCCUAUCCUCAGUUGUACGUUAGGGCACAAAACCUCUGCCGUACGACAACGGCAAGAAGGAAAAAAGUUUU
rnacentral:misc_RNA from 1 species